rfam:Oryza glumipatula chromosome 5, whole genome shotgun sequence.
UCCCAAAAUAAUUUUGUACUGUUUAUAUGUAAUGUUUGACCAUUCAUCUUAUUUAAAAAAAUUACGAUUAAUACUUUUAUUGUUACAAGAUGGUAAAACAUGAAUGGUACUAUAUGUGUGUGACUAACUUUUUAAAUUUUCUCAUAAAUUUUUCAAAUAAGACGGAUGGUCAAAUGUUGGACACGGAUUCCCACGGCUACACUUAUU